AUUGAACGCUGGCGGAAUGCUUUACACAUGCGAGUCGAACGGCAGCACGGACUUCGGUCUGGUGGCGAGUGGCGAACGGGUGAGUAAUACAUCGGAACGUACCCAGUAAUGGGGGAUAACUAUCCGAAAGGAUAGCUAAUACCGCAUACGCCCUACGGGGGAAAGAGGGGGAUCGCAAGACCUCUUGUUAUUGGAGCGGCCGAUGGCUGAUUAGCUAGUUGGUGGGGUAAAGGCCUACCAAGGCAACGAUCAGUAGCGGGUCUUAGAGGACGAUCAGCCACACUGGAACUGAGACACGGUCCAGACUCCUACGGGAGGCAGCAGUGGGGAAUCUUGGACAAUGGGCGCAAGCCUGAUCCAGCAAUGCCGCGUGCGUGAAGAAGGCCUUCGGGUUGUAAAGCGCUUUUGUCAGGGAGCAAAUCCUUGUGGCUAAUACCCACCGGGGAUGAGAGUACCUGAAGAAUAAGGACCGGCUAACUACGUGCCAGCCGCCGCCGUAA
rnacentral:rRNA from 1 species